GACGAACGCUGGCGGCGUGCUUAACACAUGCAAGUCGAACGGUGAAGCGCCUUCCUUUUUGGUGGGUGUGGAUGAGUGGCGAACGGGUGAGUAACACGUGAGUAACCUGCCCCCUUCUUCUGGAUACCGCAUGAAGGUGUGGCUAAUACGGGAUAUUCUGGGUCUGUCGCAUGAUGGGUCUGGGAAAGAUAUUGUUUCGGUGGGGGAUGGGCUCGCGGCCUAUCAGCUUGUUGGUGGGGUGAUGGCCUACCAAGGCGGUGACGGGUAGCCGGCCUGAGAGGGUGGACGGUCACACUGGGACUGAGACACGGCCCAGACUCCUACGGGAGGCAGCAGUGGGGAAUAUUGCACAAUGGGCGCAAGCCUGAUGCAGCGACGCCGCGUGAGGGAUGGAGGCCUUCGGGUUGUGAACCUCUUUCGCCAGUGAAGCAGGCCUGCCUCGUUUGUGGGUGGGUUGACGGUAGCUGGAUAAGAAGCGCCGGCUAACUACGUG
rnacentral:rRNA from 1 species